rnacentral:snRNA from 1 species
GGAUGUGAGGGCGAUUUGGCUACAACAUCUGUCACCCCAUUGAUCACCAUGGUUGAUUCAGUUGCUCUGGCUGGCUAGGCAAGUGUCCCCUUCCUCCCUCACUGCUCCAUGUAUGACCCCCCAGAAGCUGCAUGCUCGGUCAAAGAGGACGACCUUCCCUGAUAGAGGAGGACCAUUCUUUGGUCAAGAGUAUAUGAGUAGGCCGGGCGCGGUGGCUCACGCCUGUAAUCCUAGCUCUCUGGGAGGCCGAGGCGGGCAGAUUGUUUGAG